UGGUUCCCCCCACACACUGGAAUGACGCAAAAUGCAAAUAUUGGCCACUAAUUGCCGUAUUGUCUACUCAUCACCGCUUGGAACAGAAAUGCUAGGAGCAGCGGCAAUAACACAAAGCAGCAAUGCCAGGGAAGCGCCACAAAAAUGAGGGAUACUUUGCUGUGGCUGGUGACAUGGCACAGAGGGGAGAUCCAGCGGAGCACUCGAGCACUUUCCUGCAAUUUUCAGGCAGUAAAUACAGGGGCAGGCAACUUGAUCACAAGCCCUAGCUGAAAUGACA